rnacentral:lncRNA from 1 species
GUUCAUUCUCUCUCAAUUGCGGUCUGUAUUGAUCGCGUUUGUAACGACAUGUCACUUUGUCCAUCCCACCUAUGACUCAGAACAUGUUCCAAGAGCGGAUGUACCAUGUUUUCUUUAAGGACUGGCCCUCGAGCCACCCACUCACUAUAACCACCAAUCAGGAAGGAUUCAAAGAUGGGUGGAUUGGAUGCUUGUUUGGGACAGUUGUGGGGUGAGAUGAGGAAAACAAAAAACAACCCCUGUGGUUCCUAAUUACUUCUCUGUGAUCGAAAACUGUUAUUAAUCAGUUAUUACUGUGUUAUCAUUUUACCAUGUAGUUUCAUAGUAAAUACCUGGUAAUUUCUGUACCAUUAAAUAAAGUUGUACCCAAACCCUCCA